UGUGUUCGGUCAUUCUGGGCGUGUCUGGUCUAACAGGGAGGUGUGUUCAGGUGCAUUCUGGGCGUGCUGGUCUAACAGGGAGUUGGUCAGGGCAUUCUGGGCGUCCUGGUCUAACAGGGAGGUGUUGUCAGGUGCAUUCUGGGCGUGCUGGUCUGAGGGGAGGUGUGUCAGGGUGCAUUCUGGCGGUGCUGGUCUAACAGGGAGGUGUGUUCAGGUGCAUUCUGGGCGUGCUGGUUACAGGGGGGUGUGUUCAGGGCAUUCUGCGGGUGCUGGUUUACAGGAGGUGGUUCCGGUGAUUUGGCGUGCUGGUCUAGGGAGGUGUGUUCAGUGCAUUCUGGGCGUGCUGGUCUUCAGGGAGGUGUGUUCAGGUGAUUCUG